UUUGAAACACCGGUUCUCGAACGAAAACCGAAGUUAAGCAACGUUGAGCAUGAUCAGUACCUAGAUGGGUAACCCCUUUUGAAUACCAGGUGCUGUAA